UACGUAGGGUGCAAGCGUUAAUCGGAAUUACUGGGCGUAAAGCGUGCGCAGGCGGUUUUGUAAGUCUGUCGUGAAAUCCCCGGGCUCAACCUGGGAAUUGCGAUGGAGACUGCAAGGCUAGAAUCUGGCAGAGGGGGGUAGAAUUCCACGUGUAGCAGUGAAAUGCGUAGAGAUGUGGAGGAACGACCGAUGGCGAAGGCAGCCCCCUGGGUCAAGAUUGACGCUCAUGCACGAAAGGCGUGGGGAGCAAACAGGAU
rnacentral:rRNA from 1 species